AUUGAACGCUGGCGGCAUGCCUUACACAUGCAAGUCGAACAGCAGCACGGGAGCAAUCCUGGUGGCGAGUGGCGAACGGGUGAGUAAUAUAUCGGAACGUGCCCAGUCGUGGGGAUAACGUAGCGAAAGCUACGCUAAUACCGCAUACGAUCUAUGGAUGAAAGCGGGGGAUCGCAAGACCUCGCGCGAUUGGAGCGGCCGAUAUCAGAUUAGGUAGUUGGUGAGGUAAAGGCUCACCAAGCCGACGAUCUGUAGCUGGUCUGAGAGGACGACCAGCCACACUGGGACUGAGACACGGCCCAGACUCCUACGGGAGGCAGCAGUGGGGGAAUUUUGGACAAUGGCGCAAGCCUGAUCCAGCAAUGCCGCGUGCAGGAUGAAGGCCUCGGUUGUAACGUAG
rnacentral:rRNA from 1 species